rnacentral:rRNA from 1 species
UACGGAGGGAGCUAGCGUUGCUCGGAAUUACUGGGCGUAAAGCGCACGUAGGCGGGUCCUUAAGUCGGGGGUGAAAUCCCGGAGCUCAACUCCGGAACUGCCUUCGAUACUGGGGACCUCGAGUCCGGGAGAGGUGAGUGGAACUGCGAGUGUAGAGGUGAAAUUCGUAGAUAUUCGCAAGAACACCAGUGGCGAAGGCGGCUCACUGGCCCGGUACUGACGCUGAGGUGCGAAAGCGUGGGGAGCAAACAGG